CAGUAGCCACGGGAAUACGAAGGGGGCUAGCGUUGCUCGGAAUGACUGGGCGUAAAGGGCGCGUAGGCGGUUUAUACAGUCAGAUGUGAAAUUCCUGGGCUCAACCUGGGGACUGCAUUUGAUACGUAUGGACUUGAGUGGAGAAGAGGGUCGUGGAAUUUCCAGUGUAGAGGUGAAAUUCGUAGAUAUUGGAAAGAACACCGGUGGCGAAGGCGGCGACCUGGUCUUUAACUGACGCUGAGGCGCGAAAGCGUGGGGAGCAAACAGGAUUAGAUACCCGAGUAGUCCCUGUCUCUUAUAC
rnacentral:rRNA from 1 species